AGCAGUUCUCCUUGUUUAUAGUAAUGUUAGUAAUAUACUUUAAAGCUAUUUUAUAUAUUUGAGGAAUAAAAUUAAUAUUAAAUUACAAUACACAUUGUUGGGAAUGAAGCCAUGUUUUAGAAGGUGCAGAUAUCAGCAAGGUAACAACACCUGAAGGCUAACGUUGACUGAGGAGACCUCAGCGUGAGCUCUGGAAGGCUUGGACAUGCAUCUCUGGUAAACAUUUCAGUUCCCUCGGGCAAAGUGAAGUUUAUGAAUCAUUGAAGAUUCACAUGAAGUUGUAAGAAAUCUUGCAGGGAGAUCCCCUCCCACCGCAGGAGUAGUGUCUUGACAAAGCCAUAAUGCAGUCUCCUGGCCAGGAUGUUGGCAUCGACCCGGUCCAGACAGGGAACAUCUGCCACCAGAAGGGUCCCGCCUGCUGCCUUUCACAGCCAAAUCCACUUCGCUCCCACCCCAGUGGCUCCUUAGCCCUUGGCAGCCACUGAUCUAUUCUCCACAUCUAUAAUCUUGUCAUCUCAAGAAUGUCAUGAAAAUGAAUCAUACAGAAUGUUAACUUUUGCGAUUGGUUUUCUUGACUCAGCAUGAUUCUCUGCACAUUCACUCGGAUUCUUGAGUGUGUCAAUAUUUUGCUCCUGUUUAUUACUGAGUAGUAUACAAUAGAUAUUUAUAUUUAUAACCCAAAAAUGUUUCAUCUUAAUGCCACAUAAGACGAUGGAGACAGCAACAUCACACUAUUUACCCGAAGUUGGCAGCAAAACCUACAUCUCCUGCACGCUUCUGUCCAAGGUUGAGGGAAGAGUAUUUCUUUCCACGGGAAAACUACUCAAGGAAACACAGUUAAGGUUUUAA
rnacentral:lncRNA from 10 species